rnacentral:tRNA from 2 species
GGCAACGUGGCUGAGUGGUUAAAGCGUAUGACUAGAAUUCUAGUGCCAUCAUAUCCCUUCGGGGUCGUAGGUUCAAAUCCUGCCGUUGUCG